CCUACGGGUGGCUGCAGUGGGGAAUUUUGCGCAAUGGGCGAAAGCCUGACGCAGCAACGCCGCGUGGGUGAUGAAGGUCUUCGGAUCGUAAAACCCUGUCGUCGAGGACGAAGGUCGUUUGGUUAAUAGCCUUAUGGCUUGACGGUACUCGGAGAGGAAGCCCCGGCUAACUCUGUGCCAGCAGCCGCGGUAAUACAGAGGGGGCAAGCGGUAUUCGGAAUUAUUGGGCGUAAAGGGUGCGUACACGGGUGUAAUCCCCGAGCUCAACUUGGGAACUGCAUCUGAGACUGGCAGGCUAGAGUACUGGAGAGGGUGGUAGAAUUCCACGUGUAGCGGUGAAAUGCGUAGAGAUGUGGAGGAAUACCAGUGGCGAAGGCGGCCACCUGGACAGUAACUGACGCUGAGGCGCGAAAGUGUGGGUAGCAAACAGGAUUAGAUACCCGAGUAGUC
rnacentral:rRNA from 1 species